GAUAACUGGCUUGUGGCAGCCAAGCGU
rnacentral:ncRNA from 2 species